AUGGAGAAGGUUCAACCGACCACACCCAUGGAAGCCUCCUCCUUCAACUCAGAGUUUCUGCAAGCACAUACAGAGCUUUGGAUCUUACCUUUAGCUACCUCAAGGCCACGGCGCUUGAGUGUGCUGUCAAGCUCGGUAUCCCCAACACCAUUCAUCGUUGCGGUGGUGCUGCCUCACUAUCAGAACUGGUCAGCUCCAUCCCAGUGCCUGAAAGCAGAAAGCCUCACCUGCCUCGUCUCAUGAGAUUUCUUACUGCGGUAGGUAUUUUCUCUCUUGACAUGUCAACUACUGAGGAAGAGAUAACUCAGAAGGUCACAUGCAUGUACCGCCUUACGCCAUUGUCUCGUCUCCUCGUGGACAAUAGCAUCAGUGGGCAUGGAAGCCUCUUUCCAUUUGUGCUCUCCCAAACCACCAAGUACCAUGUGUCAGCAGCAAUGCAUCUAUCGGAGUGGUUCAUGACUGAGGACAAAGAGGUGGCCAUAGAGAUGCCAUUUAGGGCUGCCCAUGGCACAGACUUAUGGGGUGUUAUGGCUCGUGAUGCUAACAUGAAUGAGGUGUUCAAUGCUGGCAUGGGUUCUGAUAGUCGUCUUGCAAUUGAUUAUAUUAUUAACAAAUGUGGUGAGGUGUUUGAUGGGAUUAGCUCAUUGGUUGAUGUUGGUGGUGGUACUGGCACAUCAGCAAGGGCCAUUGCUAAGGCUUUCCCACAUAUUAAAUGCUCAGUAUUGGGCCUUCCAAAUGUUAUAGAUACUAUCACGGUGGAUGGAAUUGUUGAGUACAUUGCAGGUAACAUGAUGGAACAAAUCCCUCCGACUGAUGCAGUGUUGCUCAAGUAUAUUCUACAUGAUUGGAAUGAUGAGGAUUGUGUGAAAAUCUUAAAACAAUGUAGAAAUGCUAUUUAUUCUCAGAAAUCAGGAGGAAAAGUUAUCAUCAUAGACAUAGUGGUUGGAUCAUCUUUGAAAUCCAUGUUUGAAGCUCAAGUUUCGUUUGAUUUAUUGAUGAUGGUGAUAACAUCAGGCAAGGAACGUGAUAAGCAUGAAUGGCAUAAGAUAUUCAUCGAUGCAGGAUUUACUCAGUACAAGACAAGGCCAGUUUUGGGGUUUCUAUCGAUCAUUGAGCUCUAUCCAUAGAAGGAAUCAAUGUUUUCUUUUUAAUAUGCAUGUCUUAGGUUGGGUCUAAUAAAGUGUAUAUGCAUGUCUUUGUUAGCUUGCAUACUUACAAUUAUCUAGUUAAAGUCCAAGAUGGAAACUAAUAAAGCCAAU